GUUGUAUGGUUAAGUGACUAAGCGUACACGGUGGAUGCCUGGGCAGUCAGAGGCGAUGAAGGACGUACUAACUUGCGAUAAGCGCAGAUAAGGCAGUAAGAGCCGUUUGAGUCUGCGAUUUCCGAAUGGGGAAACCCAACUGCAUAAGCAGUUACUGUUAACUGAAUACAUAGGUUAACAGAGCAAACCGGGGGAACUGAAACAUCUAAGUACCCCGAGGAGAAGAAAUCAACCGAGAUUCCGGUAGUAGCGGCGAGCGAACCUGGAUUAGCCCUUAAGCACUCGGUGAAGUAGGUGAACAAGCUGGAAAGCUUGGCGAUACAGGGUGAUAGCCCCGUAACCGACGCUUCAUCGAGCGUGAAAUCGAGUAGGGCGGGACACGUGAUAUCCUGUCUGAAUAUGGGGGGACCAUCCUCCAAGGCUAAAUACUCCUGACUGACCGAUAGUGAACCAGUACCGUGAGGGAAAGGCGAAAAGAACCCCUGUGAGGGGAGUGAAAUAGAACCUGAAACCGUGUACGUACAAGCAGUAGGAGCACCUUCGUGGUGUGACUGCGUACCUUUUGUAUAAUGGGUCAGCGACUUAUAUUCAGUGGCAAGGUUAACCGUAUAGGGGAGCCGUAGCGAAAGCGAGUCUUAACUGGGCGCUCAGUCUCUGGAUAUAGACCCGAAACCGGGUGAUCUAGCCAUGGGCAGGUUGAAGGUUGAGUAACAUCAACUGGAGGACCGAACCGACUAAUGUUGAAAAAUUAGCGGAUGACUUGUGGCUAGGGGUGAAAGGCCAAUCAAACUCGGAGAUAGCUGGUUCUCCCCGAAAGCUAUUUAGGUAGCGCCUCGGACGAAUACUACUGGGGGUAGAGCACUGUUAAGGCUAGGGGGUCAUCCCGACUUACCAACCCUUUGCAAACUCCGAAUACCAGUAAGUACUAUCCGGGAGACACACGGCGGGUGCUAACGUCCGUCGUGGAGAGGGAAACAACCCAGACCGCCAGCUAAGGUCCCAAAGUAUUGCUAAGUGGGAAACGAUGUGGGAAGGCUCAGACAGCUAGGAUGUUGGCUUAGAAGCAGCCAUCAUUUAAAGAAAGCGUAAUAGCUCACUAGUCGAGUCGGCCUGCGCGGAAGAUGUAACGGGGCUAAGCAAUACACCGAAGCUGCGGCAAUGUCUUUUAGACAUUGGGUAGGGGAGCGUUCUGUAAGCCGUUGAAGGUGAAUCGUAAGGUUUGCUGGAGGUAUCAGAAGUGCGAAUGCUGACAUGAGUAACGACAAAGGGGGUGAAAAACCUCCUCGCCGGAAGACCAAGGGUUCCUGUCCAACGUUAAUCGGGGCAGGGUGAGUCGACCCCUAAGGUGAGGCCG
rnacentral:rRNA from 1 species